GACGAACGCUGGCGGCGUGCUUAACACAUGCAAGUCGAACGGAAAGGCCCUGCUUUGGGGCGGUGCUCGAGUGGCGAACGGGUGUGUAACAGGUGGGUAACCUGCCCCUGACUUUGGGAGAACUUCAGGAAACUGUGGCUAAUACCGGAUAGGAGCAAUAGCUGAAAGGUGGGGGGUGGAAAGUGUCGGCGGGUGGGGAUGGACUCGCGGCUUAUCAGCUUGUUUGUGGGGUAGUGGCUUACCAAGGCUUUGGCGGGUAGCCGGCCUGAGAUGGUGACCGGCCACAUUGGGACUGAGCUACGACCCAGACUCCUACGGGAGGCAGCGGUGGGGAAUAUUGCACAAUAGGCGGAAGCCUGAUGCAGCACCGCCGCGCGCGGGAUGACGGCCUUCGGGUUGUAAACCGCUUUCGCCUGUGACGAAGCGUGAGUGACGGUAAUGGGUAAAGAAGCACCGGCUAACUACGUG
rnacentral:rRNA from 1 species